GCUGUGUGAGAUUUUGACUUGCUGGCGUUACACCGGAUUCUGUGACUAUUGUAUGUUGUGACCCUAGAGGGCGCUGUUGGUAAAAUACAUCUUAUAAUGGAUCGUCUAGAUCAGCGUUCUCCAACCCUUUUAGCGUCUCGGACCGGUUUACUGUGGGACAGUAUUUUCUCGGACCGGCAUUUAAGUAUUUAGGUCUCACAUGAACUGUAACAGACGUACAGCAGGUCACCAUAUCAGAAAAGAACCAGUGUGACGUGUGACUGUGGGUUCCAUAUGCAGUGUGUUCAGGAGCCAGAUGUUAUCAAUCCUACAGCUGUGCAGCGUGCCAAUUUCAAGAUUAUCCUCCCUUCUCCUUUCUCCUGCUAAAAACAUCAUGUUAUCUAAAGUCUCUCCUUUUAUCAGUGAUAACCGUCUCCCCCAUGAAGAAAAUCCCCCUCUGCUGUAAGUCCCCACUGAUCAAGCACUUGGUGUCUUUCAGGAGGAUGGUUUUUAUGGUUCUAAUGAAGGUCUCGACAAAUUAAACAUGGUUUUUACAUUCAGGAUUGAGAACUUUGCCUACAAAAUUUUCAUUUCCACUGAUGCAGAAAUAAAAUGUUUUAAAUGUGGUCAGAUAGGACAUCUUGUUUGUGCCUGUCAGACAGACAGAAAGACAAAAGACUGAGUUACUCUGGUGUCUCCAAGUGACCGGGGCAGGAAGCAGCUGAACCUGCUGGAGUCGUUCCCUCUGCGUCUUCAGCUCGGCCUGCUGCUGAGAGCCCCGUAACUGCUGCUGCUGCUGCACCAGGACCUAGGGAGAGUGAGCCCCAACCUUAGACUGUAGACCACAGCCCCACUAGCGACGUAAACCGGACCGGGAGAAGCCCUACUCCGCUAAACCGGACCGGGAGAAGCCCUGCUCGCAUAAACCGGACCGGGAGAAGCCCUACUCCGCUAAACCGGACCGGGAGAAGCCCUGCUCGCAUAAACCGGACCGGGAGAAGCCCUACUCCGCUAAACCGGACCGGGAGAAGCCCUGCUUGCAUAAACCGGACCGGGAGAAGCCCUACUCCGCUAAACUGGACCGGGAGAAGCCCUGCUUGCAUAAACCGGACCGGGAGAAGCUCUGCUCGACUAAACCGGACCGGGAGAAGGACUAUGACACUGAAAAAGUCCCAGUGGACUCUGGAGCAGUGCUGGAGCUGCCUGCGCUGGAGAGGCAGGCACAGGGGUGCAGAGCUCUCACCAGGAGACACCAGUCACUACACCAGUGCAGGGGGACGGGGAGACGUGGAGAUGGAAGAUGAGCAUCUUUUUAAAGUACCAACAAAGAGGAAGAAACGAGGUAGAGGACAGGGAAAAAAAACAGGCAAAGAAGGAUUUAAAAGUUACAACAAACACACA